UCUCGGGACCUAAGGCGAGGCCGACAGGCGUAGUCGAUGGACAACGGGUUGAUAUUCCCGUACCGGCAUUAACACGACCCGACCGAGGUCACUGAUGCUAAAACCGAGAAGCUAGGCGGCCUUCGGGCCAAGUAGUGGAUCUGUUGACCCGAGGUGGUAUUAGGUGCACUAAGGAGUGACGCAGGAGGGCAGUCCAUCCGCGGCGAUGGUAGGCGCAAGCUGAUCCGCGGGCAAGGUGGUAGGGCGAGGCAUAGGCAAAUCCGUGUCUCAUAUAGCCUGAGAACCGAGGCGGACCCGUUCAGGGGAAGUGGAUGAUCCCAUGCUGCCAAGAAAAACUUCGUAGUGAGUGUUAGAGCCGCCCGUACCCCAAACCGACACAGGUGAUCAGGUAGAGAAUACCAAGGCGAUCGAGUGAACCAUGGUUAAGGAACUCGGCAAAAUGCCCCCGUAACUUCGGGAGAAGGGGGGCCGGAUGCGUUACAUGGCUUGCCCAUGGAAGCGUUGAUGGCCGCAGAGACCAGGCCCAAGCGACUGUUUACUAAAAACACAGGUCCGUGCGAAGAAGUAAUUCGAUGUAUACGGACUGACGCCUGCCCGGUGCUGGAACGUUAAGGGGACAGGUUAGCUGGUUUAGGCCGGCGAAGCUUUGAACUUAAGCGCCAGUAAACGGCGGUGGUAACUAUAACCAUCCUAAGGUAGCGAAAUUCCUUGUCGGGUAAGUUCCGACCUGCACGAAUGGCGUAACGACUUGGGCGCUGUCUCAACCAUGGACUCGGCGAAAUUGCAUUACGAGUAAAGAUGCUCGUUACGCGCAGCAGGACGGAAAGACCCCGGGACCUUUACUACAACUUGGUAUUGGUGGUCGGUACAACUUGUGUAGGAUAGGUGGGAGACUGUGAAAUCCGGACGCCAGUUCGGGUGGAGUCAUCGUUGAAAUACCACUCUGGUUGUUCUGGCUGUCUAACUUCGGUCCAUUAUCUGGAUCAGGGACAGUGCCUGGUGGGUAGUUUGACUGGGGCGGUCGCCUCCUAAAAGGUAACGGAGGCGCUCAAAGGUUCCCUCAGCCUGGUUGGCAAUCAGGUGUCGAGUGUAAGUGCACAAGGGAGCUUGACUGUGAGACAGACAUGUCGAGCAGGGACGAAAGUCGGAACUAGUGAUCCGGCGGUGGCAUGUGGGAGCACCGUCGCUCAACGGAUAAAAGGUACCCCGGGGAUAACAGGCUGAUCUUCCCCAAGAGUCCAUAUCGACGGGAUGGUUUGGCACCUCGAUGUCGGCUCGUCGCAUCCUGGGGCUGG
rnacentral:rRNA from 1 species